rnacentral:lncRNA from 1 species
CAUUUUGAUACAGUUUCAAAAUACACUCAAAAUAAUCCAAACGUCAUUGCUACGUGAAAAAUCACGUAGAUCAUUCCGCAUUCAUUUUGCCUCCUAUUCACUUGACUAAGGUAAUAAUUACCAGAGCAUAUAUGAACUCUAAAUGGAGACCCGGUGAUUCUUACUGGGGCUACCAAUCGCACUUACGUGAAAAUCACGUAGGCAUUUGAAUUCAUUUGGUCAUCGCGUUCAUUCUCUGUUGAGCUCAGUUGUCAAAAUGGUGGUCGAUACUAAAAAGAAGCUGCUGCUGCUGGACUUCAAACUAAUUUUAAGAACAAUUCCAAGAACGUUGAUUGUUUUGAAUGGAACUGACCCUGGACAAAUUUGCGAGGAACGUGCGUUUCAUGGACUGUUCCGACGGUCCCGUCGAUCGAUAUCGCGAUGGUGGUCAGUCAGUGUUUUGAAACCAUUAAUGGAAUAUAAUAGUUUAAUCCCUUAGUUAUUUGUCCUUUUUUCAAAAUAAACACAUAAAAAAGCAUGUGCAAAACAGGAUUGAUUUCCCUGAAUUGAUUCCGAUAACUUUAAAUGAAAAUUUCCCUAGGAUCUAUUGAAAAGCUUUGUAAAAGCUACGUGAAAAAUCAUGUAGCUGUUACGUGGAACUUCGAUGGAACUGAUGAGGUUCACUUGUUCAUGCGUUCAUUCGGUGUUACCUAUGAUCCACGUAAGUGCUACGUAAAAAG